GGGCCCGCACAAGCAGUGGAGUAUGUGGUUUAAUUCGACGCAACGCGAAAAACCUUACCAGGUCUUGACAUCCAACUAACGAAGCAGAGAUGCAUAAGGUGCCCUUCGGGGAAAGUUGAGACAGGUGGUGCAUGGUUGUCGUCAGCUCGUGUCGUGAGAUGUUGGGUUAAGUCCCGCAACGAGCGCAACCCUUAUUGUUAGUUGCUACGGAAGAGCACUCUAACGAGACUGCCGUUGACAAAACGGAGGAAGGUGGGGAUGACGUCAAAUCAUCAUGCCCUUUAUGACCUGGGCUACACACGUACUACAAUGGCGGCGAACAAAGGGGAGCAAAGAGGUGACUCGGAGCAAAUCCUGAAAAGCCGUCUCAGUUCAGAUUGCAGGCUGCAACUCGCCUGCAUGAAGGCGGAAUUGCUAGUAAUCGCGAAUCAGCAUGUCGCGGUGAAUACGUUCCCGGGCCUU
rnacentral:rRNA from 1 species